rnacentral:rRNA from 1 species
AGCGAACGCUGGCGGCAGGCUUAACACAUGCAAGUCGAGCGGGCACUUCGGUGUCAGCGGCAGACGGGUGAGUAACACGUGGGAACGUACCCUUCGGUUCGGAAUAACGCUGGGAAACUAGCGCUAAUACCGGAUACGCCCUUUUGGGGAAAGGUUUACUGCCGAAGGAUCGGCCCGCGUCUGAUUAGCUAGUUGGUGGGGUAAUGGCCUACCAAGGCGACGAUCAGUAGCUGGUCUGAGAGGAUGAUCAGCCACACUGGGACUGAGACACGGCCCAGACUCCUACGGGAGGCAGCAGUGGGGAAUAUUGGACAAUGGGCGCAAGCCUGAUCCAGCCAUGCCGCGUGAGUAAUGAAGGCCUUAGGGUUGUAAAGCUCUUUUGUCCGGGACGAUAAUGACGGUACCGGAAGAAUAAGCCCCGGCUAACUUCGUG